rnacentral:ncRNA from 1 species
AAGAGCCGUAUGAGGUGAGAGUUUCACGUACGGUUCCGUGAGCGCCAGAAGAGGAAGUUCCUUCUGGCGACUCUAC